rnacentral:rRNA from 1 species
GACGAACGCUGGCGGCGUGCUUAACACAUGCAAGUCGAACGGAAAGGCCCUGCUUUUGUGGGGUGCUCGAGUGGCGAACGGGUGAGUAACACGUGAGUAACCUGCCCUUGACUUUGGGAUAACUUCAGGAAACUGGGGCUAAUACCGGAUAGGAGCUCCUGCUGCAUGGUGGGGGUUGGAAAGUUUCGGCGGUUGGGGAUGGACUCGCGGCUUAUCAGCUUGUUGGUGGGGUAGUGGCUUACCAAGGCUUUGACGGGUAGCCGGCCUGAGAGGGUGACCGGCCACAUUGGGACUGAGAUACGGCCCAGACUCCUACGGGAGGCAGCAGUGGGGAAUAUUGCACAAUGGGCGGAAGCCUGAUGCAGCAACGCCGCGUGCGGGAUGACGGCCUUCGGGUUGUAAACCCCUUUCGCCUGUGACGAAGCGUGAGUGACGGUAAUGGGUAAAGAAGCACCGGCUAACUACGUGCCAGCAGCCGCGGUGAUACGUAGGGUGCGAGCGUUGUCCGGAUUUAUUGGGCGUAAAGGGCUCGUAGGUGGUUGAUCGCGUCGGAAGUGUAAUCUUGGGGCUUAACCCCUGAGCGUGCUUUCGAUACGGGUUGACUUGAGGAAGGUAGGGGAGAAUGGAAUUCCUGGUGGAGCGGUGGAAUGCGCAGAUAUCAGGAGGAACACCAGUGGCGAAGGCGGUUCUCUGGGCCUUUCCUGACGCUGAGGAGCGAAAGCGUGGGGAGCGAACAGGCUUAGAUACCCUGGUAGUCCACGCUGUAAACGGUGGGUACUAGGUGUGGGGUCCAUUCCACGGGUUCCGUGCCGUAGCUAACGCUUUAAGUACCCCGCCUGGGGAGUACGGCCGCAAGGCUAAAACUCAAAGAAAUUGACGGGGCCCCGCACAAGCGGCGGAGCAUGCGGAUUAAUUCGAUGCAACGCGUAGAACCUUACCUGGGUUUGACAUGGAUCGGGAGUGCUCAGAGAUGGGUGUGCCUCUUUUGGGGUCGGUUCACAGGUGGUGCAUGCCUGUCGUCAGCUCGUGUCGUGAGAUGUUGGGUUAAGUCCCGCAACGAGCGCAACCCUUGUUCACUGUUGCCAGCACGUUAUGGUGGGGACUCAGUGGAGACCGCCGGGGUCAACUCGGAGGAAGGUGGGGAUGACGUCAAGUCAUCAUGCCCCUUAUGUCCAGGGCUUCACGCAUGCUACAAUGGCUGGUACAGAGAGUGGCGAGCCUGUGAGGGUGAGCGAAUCUCGGAAAGCCGGUCUCAGUUCGGAUUGGGGUCUGCAACUCGACCUCAUGAAGUCGGAGUCGCUAGUAAUCGCAGAUCAGCAACGCUGCGGUGAAUACGUUCCCGGG